ACUGGCGGAGAUAGUACGUUGAAUGCCUCAGUUCCCAUUUAUGAACGGAUCACUGAAGUUAAAACGUUGCGCGUGGUUGGUAUCCAGAUGGAUGACCAUCUGGGCAUUCUGAUGGGCAAUUG
rnacentral:rRNA from 1 species